GCGCGUAUAGCUCAGUUGGUAGAGCACAUCACUGAUACUGAUGGGGUCCUAGGUUCAAAUCCUAGUACGCGCACCA
rnacentral:tRNA from 1 species